UACGUAGGGGGCGAGCGUUGUCCGGAUUUAUUGGGCGUAGAGAGCUCGUAGGCGGUUCGAUAAGUCGGAUGUGAAAUCUCCACGCUCAACGUGGAGGGUGCAUUCGAUACUGCCGUGCUUGAGGACUGGAGAGGAGACUGGAAUUUACGGUGUAGCGGUGAAAUGCGUAGAUAUCGUAAGGAAGACCAGUGGCGAAGGCGGGUCUCUGGACAGUUCCUGACGCUGAGGCACGAAGGCCAGGGGAGCAAACGGG
rnacentral:rRNA from 1 species